GAGCACCGCACCCAACUCACAUCAACGCCCUGCCACAGGUGACAGGUCAGAUGGGCGGGUUAAGUGUGAGAGUCUGGAGGUGAAAGGUCAGAUGGGCGGGUUAAGUGUGAGAGUCUGGAGGUGAAAGGUCAGAUGGGCGGGUUAAGUGUGAGAGUCUGGA